rnacentral:rRNA from 1 species
CAGCGCCACGAGUGGCAACCGCGAUUAUUGGGCCUAAAGCGUCCGUAGCCGGUUUGAUAAAUCUUUUGUGAAAUUGUCCAGCUUAGCUGGUCACCGUGCAAGAGACACUGUCGAACUUGAGACCGGGAGGAGUCAGAAGUAUUCAAGAGGGAGCGGUAAAAUGUUAUAAUCUCUGGAGGACCAACUGUGGCGAAGGCGUCUGACCAGAACGGAUCUGAAGGUGAGGGACGAAAGCUAGGGGAGCGAACCGGAUUAGAUACCCGAGUAGUCC